UACAAACCAACUUCAGGCUGCCUUCCCAAACCCACCAUGAUGUUCACCAGGAAGGAGGUAGAGGAGUCAGGAGUGAUGCUGAGCCUGGGAAGAAGGAGGGUAGGGAAAGCCAAACCCCUAGGUUUUCAGGAUGAGAGCAGAUCCCGACCUGUGUCUAUUCUUGAAUAAGGCUGACCUUUGAAGGAACCUUGCUAAUUGCAGAAAAAGGCACAGAGUUCUGGCUCAAGCUAUCCUGGAGGAAGAAGAAGACAGAAAAAGCUACCAAAGACCUGGAACUGAACCUUGUGAGAACCACCUUCUCGUUCCCACUGCCCCCCAGGCACCACAGGAGGGCUAGCAAAAUCUGAGUGUUAGCUAGUGUCCCUUAUCUAUCUUUUCAAAAAUGUCUGGAGUCACUUUUCUGACUAUCUGAGCUCUUUAUGAAAUUAAAGUUGAAGAAAAUUAUUUACUUUGCAUAAAACAGUAUGAUAUAUAUUCAAUUGUAUUAAUAAUACAUUCUGUCAGAGUGCCCAUCUGCUGCCAUCUGUUACAGGGCAACAGCAUGUAAUAGGAUAUUGAUGGGAAGGUUCAGCCUCCUGCUGCCAUGCCACCAACAUCCGCCUCUGACAUGGUGAGCCAACAUCAUAGCAUAGGAGGUAUUACUUUCAGAGUAUCCCUAAUAGUAGACCAGCACUGGGCAUCUUUAGAUGCAGAUUUAUUUACAAGUACAGAUGGUGAUAUAUUUUUUUUGUGUAUGUGUGUAGUUAAAUCCUUGUAGCAUAAAAAGUAGCUGCUUAUAACUGCUUGGGUCAAAUUACUGAUUGGUACAUUAUUAAUUUUUACAACUGAACUCCAACUGAAAAGGUCUUUUUGCUGUUAUGAAUCAAGCAGAGCACCUGCCUGUCUUGUAGUUCUGAGAAGCAAUCCCCAGUGCUCACUGGCCUGUGGGCAACAGUGUUAUUUAAAGAAAAUCUUGUAGACAACAAAGGUUUUUGCUCCCCCUAUCACUUCUAGUUUUAAUUUUUAAUUUUGUGUGGCUCCCAGCAAUAUUAUUGUCUCUUGCAGGCAACAUAUUCCUAGGGACAUGAACAUGAGGAAGGAGCAUGCUUUUUGUUUUCUUGAAUAGUUUUCUCUCAACCCACAAGUUCUACUUUGUUUUUCUUUUCCUUCCGAUUCUCUCCCCCAUCCCACUGGGAAGAGGGGGGCAUGACCAAACAGCUGUGCAGUGCUGAGCCACCUGCUGCGUUAAACUACAACACUUUAUCACUCCAGAUCCAUACAACCAUUUCUUCAGAUGUUGAUUAUAACCCUUGUAUUGUAAAGAGAUUCCUCCUGGAAGAAUUCACUUCUCUCUUAAUAAAACUAAAAUAUUGAU
ensembl:lncRNA